GGCACACAGUGUAGCGUGGCCGAGCGGUCCAAGGCGCUGGAUAUAGGCUCCAGUCUCUUCGGGGGUGUGGGUUCGAAUCCCACCGCUGCCA